rnacentral:rRNA from 1 species
CUACGGGAGGCAGCAGUGGGGAAUAUUGCACAAUGGGCGCAAGCCUGAUGCAGCCAUGCCGCGUGUAUGAAGAAGGCCUUCGGGUUGUAAAGUACUUUCAGCGGGGAGGAAGGGAGUAAAGUUAAUACCUUUGCUCAUUGACGUUACCCGCAGAAGAAGCACCGGCUAACUCCGUGCCAGCAGCCGCGGUAAUACGGAGGGUGCAAGCGGUAAUCGGAAUUACUGGGCGUAAAGCGCACGCAGGCGGUUUGUUAAGUCAGAUGUGAAAUCCCCGGGCUCAACCUGGGAACUGCAUCUGAUACUGGCAAGCUUGAGUCUCGUAGAGGGGGGUAGAAUUCCAGGUGUAGCGGUGAAAUGCGUAGAGAUCUGGAGGUAUACCGGUGGCGAAGGCGGCCCCCUGGACGAAGACUGACGCUCAGGUGCGAAAGCGUGGGGAGCAAACAGGAUUAGAUACCCCCGUAGUC